CAUACAGGUAGACAGUUACCUACUAUAAAUACUUGAAAAAUUUUUAGGUGCUAUCAGUUGUCGUGUACUCGCCAUAUUAUUAAAAAAACUGAUAAAAAUGAACUUCUUCAACAUCUUCUUCAUUGUCGUCUUGGCCCUUGCGGCUCUUCAGCAGACGGCCUCGGCCAAAUGCAUCGCUAAUGGCAAUGGUUGUCAACCUAGUGGAAGUCAAGGAAACUGUUGCUCAGGAUACUGCCACAAGCAGCCUGGAUGGGUUGCUGGUUACUGCAGAAGGAAGUAGUUUCGUCAAACAUUUGGAAUAUUACGAAAAACUAUGACGUUAAUGAAAUUAUGUCGACAGUAUUAAAAUAAUAAAGAGUUUAGAUAAAAAA